UACGGGGGGGGCAAGCGUUGUUCGGAAUUACUGGGCGUAAAGGGCGCGUAGGCGGCCCAAUCAGUCGGGCGUGAAAGCUCUGGGCUUAACCCAGAAAGGUCGUUCGAUACUGUUGGGCUAGAGUGUGGAAGAGGCUACUGGAAUUCCGUGUGUAGCGGUGAAAUGCGUAGAUAUACGGAGGAACACCUGCGGCGAAGGCGGGUAGCUGGGCCAACACUGACGUUGAUGCGCGAAAGCUAGGGGAGCAAACGGG
rnacentral:rRNA from 1 species